AACGAACGCUGGCGGCAUGCCUAACACAUGCAAGUCGAACGAGACCUUCGGGUCUAGUGGCGCACGGGUGCGUACCGCGUGGUAACCUGCCCUUAGGUUCGGUAUACCUCCCCGAAGGGGGUGCUCAUACCGCUUAAUGUCUUAGGACCUAAGACUUAUCGCUUUUGGAUGGGCCCGCGUUGGAUUAGCUGGUUGGUAGGGUAAAAGCCUAGCAAGGCCACGAUGCAUAGCUGGUCGGAUAGGAUGACCUGCUACACUGGGAAUGAGACACGGCCCAGCCUGGUACGGGGGGGAGGAGUAGGGAGUACUGUGGGAUGGGCGAUAGUCUGAUCAAGCAGUGCGGGGUGAGAGGUGAAGGGGUUAGGGUUGUAAAGCCCUUUUACACGAGAUGAUAAUGACAGUACCGGGUGAAUAAGCUCCGGCUAACUACGUG
rnacentral:rRNA from 1 species